UUCAGAGGGUGCAAGCGUUAUUCGGAUUUAUUGGGCGUAAAGGGUGCGUAGGCGGCCUAGCAAGUUGAGUGUGUAAUCCCGUGGCUUAACCACGGAACUGCACUCAAUACUACUAGGCUUGAGGUAGAGAGAGGAUGGUGGAACUCCUAGUGUAGAGGUGAAAUUCGUAGAUAUUAGGGGGAACAUCGGUGGCGAAGGCGGCCAUCUGGCUCUAUUCUGACGCUGAGGCACGAAAGUGUGGGGAGCAAACAGG
rnacentral:rRNA from 1 species